GCAGUGGGGAAUCUUGCGCAAUGGGCGAAAGCCUGACGCAGCAACGCCGCGUGCGGGAUGAAGGCCUUCGGGCUGUAAACCGCUUUCAGCAGGAACGAAAAUGACGGUACCUGCAGAAGAAGGAGCGGCCAACUACGUGCCAGCAGCCGCGGUGACACGUAGGCUCCAAGCGUUGUCCGGAUUUAUUGGGCGUAAAGAGCUCGUAGGCGGUUGAGUAAGUCGGGUGUGAAAACUCUGGGCUUAACCCGGAGACGCCAUCCGAUACUACUCUGACUAGAGUUCAGGAGGGGAGUGGGGAAUUCCUAGUGUAGCGGUGAAAUGCGCAGAUAUUAGGAGGAACACCGGUGGCGAAGGCGCCACUCUGGACUGAAACUGACGCUGAGGAGCGAAAGCAUGGGUAGCAAACAGGAUUAGAUACCCGGGUAGUCCGGUC
rnacentral:rRNA from 1 species